rnacentral:tRNA from 1 species
CAAGUUAGAGCUUGGAUAAGUAUUUUAUUUACAUUAAAAAGUUAAUUGUUAAAUUCAAUUUAACUUGA